UGGGGAAUUUUGGACAAUGGGCGAAAGCCUGAUCCAGCAAUGCCGCGUGUGUGAAGAAGGCCUUCGGGUUGUAAAGCACUUUUGUCCGGAAAGAAAUCCUUGGCUCUAAUACAGUCGGGGGAUGACGGUACCGGAAGAAUAAGCACCGGCUAACUACGUGCCAGCAGCCGCGGUAAUACGUAGGGUGCAAGCGUUAAUCGGAAUUACUGGGCGUAAAGCGUGCGCAGGCGGUUUGCUAAGACCGAUGUGAAAUCCCGGGCUCAACCUGGGAACUGCAUUGGUGACUGGCAGGCUAGAGUAUGGCAGAGGGGGUAGAAUUCCACGUGUAGCAGUGAAAUGCGUAGAGAUGUGGAGGAAUACCGAUGGCGAAGGCAGCCCCCUGGGCCAAGUACUGACGCUCAUGCACGAAAGCGUGGGGAGCAAACAGGAUUAGAUACCCUGGUAGUCCACGCCCUAAA
rnacentral:rRNA from 1 species